AUUUUCCUCUUUAACUUCUCAUCUCGCUCUCUCUAACCCGAAACAACUUCUCAGUCUCUCACUUUUUCAUGGCAUCUCUGCCUUCUGUAACUAGGAAUCUCAAGCUUGACCAUGAAUUCAGAAAAUUAUCUGCACAUAAUUCCAGUUCCACUGAUAAUAAUAAGACCACGAGUAUCUCCUACCAGAGAAAUUUUACAUCAAAAGCAAAUUUGGAACCAAAAAAUUUGGAUUUCAGAGAAGCGAUUUCGAUAUUGAAAGAGGGUAGUAAGGAUGUGGAGUCAGGAUUUUAUGUUCCUAUUCUACAAGAAUGUAUUGACAGGAAUUCAGUCUCAGAUGCUCAGAUUAUUCAUACCCACAUUGUAAAAACUGGAGCUCAUGAUGACUUGUUCAUUAUGUCUUUCUUACUCAGUGUUUACGCGAAAUGCGGGUCGAUGGAGUAUGCAGUUAACGUAUUUGAGAACUUGCCGAAGAGGAAUAUUGUUAAUUGGACUGCUUUGAUGACGGGUUACGUUCAGAAUUCGCAGCCAGAACUUGCCAUUCAGGUAUUUCUUGAAUUAUUUGAAGCUGGGGUUUAUCCUACCAACUACACUUUGGGUGCUAUCAUAAAUGCUUGUUCGUCGUUAUUCUCUAUCAAAUUUGGUAGACAAAUCCAUGGUUACAUUAUUAAGUACCAGAUUGAAUCGGAUACAAGUAUGGGUAAUGCCCUUUGUAGCUUAUAUUCCAAAUGUGGGAGCUUUGAGUGUGCAGUUAAAGCCUUUCGGAGAAUCCCCGAGAAGAACGUCAUCUCCUGGACUACUGUUUUAUCCGCUUGUGGUGAUAAUGGGCAACCUGAGAAGGGGUUGAAUUUUUUCGCCGAGAUGCUUUCGGAAGAUGGUGAGCCGAAUGAGUUUACCUUGACUAGUGUUUUGAGCUUGUGUUGUUUAAUACAUGCUUUGGGUUUUGGAGAGCAGGUUCAUUCUUACAGUAUAAAGCUUGGUUUCGACGCUAGUGUAUCUAUUAAGAAUUCUAUCAUGUAUUUGUACCUGAGAUCUGGACGGGUUGACGAAGCGAGGAGAUUGUUUGAUGCAAUGGGAACCAUAUCUUUGGUGACAUGGAAUGCAAUUAUAGCAGGUUACAGUCAAAUUAUGGGUUCUGAAAAGGAUUAUCUGAAGGCUCAUCAUAGUGGUGCAGAGGCGCUUCAAAUCUAUCUCAAAUUGCACAGGUCAAGAAUGAAACCAGAUCUAUUUACCUUCUCAAGUAUCCUGACUGUUUGUAGUGGCCUGGUGGCAUUAGAUCAAGGAGAACAAAUACACGCGCAAACAAUAAAAAGUGGGUUCUUAUCAGAUGUUGUGGUUGGAAGUGCAUUGGUUAACACGUAUUACAAAUGUGGAAGUGCUGAGAAAGCAACUAAAGCUUUUGUGGAGAUGCCCACAAGAACAUUGAUAUCUUGGAGUUCAAUGAUCACAGGUUUUGCGCAGCAUUGUCGAUGUGUUGAAGUAUUGCAGCUUUUCGAGGAUAUGAUUAUAACGGGCGUCAAACCUAGCAAAGUUACUUUCAUUGGUGUUCUCUCCGCUUGUAGCCAUGCUGGAAUGGCCGAUGAAGCUCUGAAUUACUUUGAAAUGAUGAAGAAAAAGUAUAAGAUAAAACCUGUAGUGGACCAUUAUGCAUGCUUGAUUGAUAUGUAUGUGAGGUUGGGAAAGUUGCAGGAAGCUUUUGAUUUUAUAGAGAAGACGGAAUUUGAGCCUAAUGAGUUUAUAUGGUCAAUGUUAAUUGCUGGAUGUAGAAGCCAUGGGAAUAUGGAGUUGGGAUUUUACGCGGCAGAGCGGCUACUUCAACUUAAACCAAAAGAUUGUGAAACUUAUGCAUUAUUGUUGAGCAUAUAUAUUCCAGCGGGGAAGUGGAAAGAUGUAACAAAGGUGAGGAAAAUGAUGAAAGACAAAAAGCUUGGAUGUCUGCAGGAUAGGAGUUCAAUUAGCAUUAAAGAUAAGGUUUAUUCCUUUAAACCUGAUGAUAAAUCGCAUAAUCGAAGUGUAGAGAUAUACAGAUUAUUGGACGACCUUGUUGAAAGAGCAAAGAGUCUUGGAUAUGUGUCAGAGAGAAGCUUAGACGUCGUCGAUGAGGAUGAUAAUGAUGAGGGAACUCUUUCGUCUACUAUCCAUCAUAGUGAAAAAUUAGCAGUUGCUUUCGGCUUGUUAAGCACUUGUCAAGGUUCAUCUAUUCGGGUAAUCAAGAGUAUUAGUAUGUACAGGGAUUCCCAUUCCUUAAUCAAGCACAUAUCUGCAAUGACUGGAAGAGAAAUUAUUCUUCGGGAUAGCAAGCGACUCCACCAGUUCAAUGAUGGCCAAUGUUCUUGCGGAGACUUUGGUAGUCUUCUUUGAAUCAGGUCAUGCCUUUAACCUUUUCUAACUAUCAAUGGUGAAUUGCAAUAGACCGGAUGAUGUGUCCUUUCAUUUUUCAGAUAGCUCACACUAUCAGUGCUAUGGGGAGUUGGCGAGAGUUGCUUAGGACUCAACAAGAUAAAAGUAGCAUCUGCAGAAAUCAAGAUACUGUCAAUGAUCACCGCUACAGGAUGCAGCAAAAGGUGGAACUUAUGCUUGUCAGAUAAGUCUUCUUUCACUUUUCUUUCAGUUUAUAGUUGUUCAACUUGAAUUAAUUUUGUUCAGAAGACGAUUGUUUGUUAGGAAUAUUAAUAUGCUUUUGACAAAUAGGACCAGCAAGAAUAGAUGGAACUAUAAAUUAAUCAAUUUAUCACUGCAAGAUUAUGCCACAUACUUAUUUGUUUUUGUUCUGUUUCCCUAUUACUAGUAUCAACAAGAAUCCGCAAAUAAAACUAUGAAAAAGGAAGUUUGCUGUGAUCCAAACUGAUACUUGAAGAGAGGUUUUCAAACAUGAAUUUUAGAUUUCACCCAAAAGAAGACCCAACAUUCCCGCCAACUCAUUUACCCUAAGAUGUUUUGGAAAUUUUUGUCGCCGUUCCUUGCUUCUGUUUAAUGUCAUAUUUGGUAGCUUUGGUGUUUUCUAUUGGUUAGAUAUGCAUCAUGCGGAUCAGGUAUUGAUUUUGUUUUCUAUUGGUUAGAUAUAAGCUGACACCUUGACUAGUUAUGUCCAUACAGUUAUUUUUCGCUAAAAGAGACACAUACUUAUUGUGGAGAAUACAUACUUUGUAAACACAAGUUGUUCACAUGAACAAAAUGGACUGCAUUUUUUCAUGCUAGCUAAGUUUGCCUUAUCAAUCAGAAACAUCAAAUCUUCUCUCCUCUCCAAAUAACCGUUUUUUUCUUAUCUCCAAGAAAAAAACUCUCCAACUUCACAGAUUCUAUCAAAAUCUUUUCAAUUGUAUUUCAAAUCUACUGGAUUUGGUCUCAAUCUUUCGGAUCCUCCGGUUAAAUUUGGAUACAAUUAGUAGUUAGUUUGUAUUAUUAGAUAAAUAAAUAAAACAAAUUGUUGUUUUAGGCAACAAUAUUUAGGUUUUUUUUAUAUGUUUGUAUUUGUCUUUCUGAUGGAUCUGAUGGCUUCUUCAUGCUAUUUGGAUUUGUUUUCUGAUAGCCAUUAUGGCAUUGAUUGGUGGAGUUGCUGCAUCGUUUUCAAGUAUGUUAUGAAAGACGACGAUCUACUUCGAAAAUCAACACCGAUACUGAUCGUGAUAGUGUCAAUUUGGGCUUAUUACUUCUCUACAGUGGAAGCAUCUAACAUAUAUGAUGUUGAUGAUGAAGAAUGAAAGGAUGAAUCAAAAUGGUUUGAAUCAAUAACCAUUAGAAGGGUGUCAAUUUCAAUGACAAAAUGUAAAUUAGUACAAUUUCGGUUUUUCGUUUCUUUAUGUUUCGAAAUCUGUAAAUUAGGUGCUAGUUGUUUCGUUUUGUUUCCUACUGAUGUAAUUGAUACUGAUGUUAUCAUGAUUCCUGGAAUGGUGAUUCUGCACCAUUAUGUAUCCCU